rnacentral:lncRNA from 1 species
AUUAAUUGUAAUUGCUGACAUAAACCUUUGAGUAAUUUCCCCUCUGUUGUUUAUGCACAGCCAAAUAUCACCCUUGAAAAGCGGAUGCAUAAGAUUCAAUUAAUAGUAAUUACUGGCAUAAACCUUAUGGUAAUUUGGCCUCUGGUGUUUAUGCACAGCCAAGUAUCACUCUUGAAAAAGCGGAUGCAUAAGAGACAUUAAUUGUAAUUGCUGACAUAAACCUUCUAGUAAUUUCCCCUCUGUUGUUUAUGCACAGCCAAAUGUCACAGUUGAAAAAGCGGAUGCAUAAGAUGCAUUCAUAGUAAGCGCUGUGUUAUCAAAGGCGAAAAGCCCAAAAAAACUCUUAAGGUCCAUUGGGGCUUUAAGCGCAAAGUUCAAAUAAAGCGUCGGCUUUAACGGAAGAAGGUGCAAAGGAAGAAAAAAUACAAAUAUAUAUAUUUUGUCCAAUGCUAAUAAUUAUAAACAUUAAUGAAAAAUAUAUGAACAAAGAAAUUGAAAAAAAUUUAUGAUAAAGUGAAAUAUCAAUUGUUUAGUGUCAUGUCUUCAGCAAAGGCUCACUGGCAAGGAAAAGUAUGCCUUAGAACUUGAUGACACCGAAGCACAUAAAGCAAGGCGAAGCACUCAACACGUUUUGAGCCUCGCUUCAAGGCUUAAGCACACCUUUGACAACACUGGAUUACUCUGAC